UAGGAUCUCCAUUUAAGUUCAGCCCUGAGCUCUUGUUGUUUCCCUAGUUUGUUUAGCGGUGUUUCUGUGGUGGAGCUGGUUUGUUUUCUAAUUUAAUUCCAGCUUCUAGAUACAUAUCCUGUGCAGGAACCUUGCUACUGAUCCUUGGCUCGCUGUUUCUGACCGCUGUCCUGGCUGGGCUUGGAACCUGAAACCUUAGAUUUUUGGAGGUUGUCAUUUGAUAGUUUGUAGUAAUUGUGGCCAACGUGAUCCUGACCAGGAACAGCGUGGUUGUACGCUGACUGGAAGAUUGCUACUGGUGCUCUGCUCAGCCUUUGCUCCUGGCUUGUCCCUGCUUGUGGUGCUUCUCUGCUUCUGCUGCUAUCUGUAGUGUUCCUCCCCAGAAUGAAACACCUAGUUGAAGCUGAUGCUGCUGACAGUGGAAGCCUUUUCUGAUCUAAGAAUGGCAAGCAGGAAUAACUAGCAUUUUCCAACUUAGUACAUCUUACUUCAUCUCACUGAUGUCCCAAAUCAGCUGAGAUGGACCAUGUGAAGUUCAGCAAGGAGAAUUGUGAAGUCGUGAAUCUGUGAAGGAACAAUUGCAUGCACCAGAACUUGCUGAAGCCACCCAUUUGGAAAACAGCUGACAGAAGGCCCUGGGGAUCAUCAUCUUUGUGAGCCAAGCUUAAGAAGCCACAAAGUAGAAAACAAGGUGCCAUCCAUCUUUCACAUGGACCACUUCAACCUGAACCCUGCAGGCCCAGCCCUGCUUGAUGAGUGAGAAGCUACUGCCUAUGAAAAGGCUGGUCAGGAAGAAAGGAAGGAUAUUCAAACUGAGGGGAAAAAAGUCUACAAGGGACAUGCUGACAAGAAUUCACUUUUCUUCAAGAUCAGCUGACGGAUAGUGGCAAAAUGGAGAUUUUCAUUUUGGUAUCUUUGGUAGGGUACCAAAGAUCUGCUUAAGCUUUAUGAAAAGAACCCAUAUGGCUUCCCAAAGGAUGUGUUCCAAAGUUUAGAGUAAGAAUGAACUUGGAUCCUCAAGAACACACAAGCAUAAAACGGGGAAUGAAAGUUAUGUAUAAGGGGUGUGUGUGUGUGCGUGUGUGUGUGUGCGCUAAUGUGAUAUAAAUUAUGAUAUAGAUCCCUUUGUUGCCAAAUUAACUUCCACAUAACAUUCCUCUUCUGUAGCUCAGAAGAGGGAAUGAUGAGACAUAAGUAGAAUGCAAAAGGGGAGAAAUAGAAGCCAGCACACUGUACACAUUUAUUUCAUGGAAGAAAAAAAAAAGUGUUAAGAAUCAGAUAGAGGUAUGACAAUGAAAUACUUUCAGUUGGGAUUUGUCAGUUUACUGAAAGGGAGGGGAAAAAAAAAAGUCACUAGGACAAGUUUGCUUUGUUUCAGCAUAAACUAACCUCCAGCAUAACUCAGGCUCCACGUUUCUGGCAUCUGGCAAGCAGGCAGACAACCUGGAGGCCCCAGGGCUGGAAGUCUGACACUCAGUUUCUCAGAAGCUCAUGUUUCCCUAGAGAUCUGCUUCCCAGAUAAUGUGCAAGAUUCGAGGUCUUCUUCCAAGUAGUAGUUAGGAAAAGGAAAAAGUAGUUUUUCUCCAAGAUGAUGUUCUUACUUUCCUACCCUACCUUCCCGUAAUCCCUUCCUCAUGAUUUCAGAUGAGCAAACAAUAAAAGUGUAGACAGAAAUAAAGGGAUUUUAGUCUUCAUUAUUUAGGAUCCUAUUUAUUUAUUGUAGAAAAAGAGUAGUAUAUUCACACUAAAAUCACGUAUUUUGCUGCCGAAGCAGCACAGAGAACAACUCUUCAGCACCCUAAGUAUCAACCGAAGCAUCAGCCCUCCCCCCAGAGUUUAAGAGAUGUUUGCUGUCAAUCAGUAAUUCUAACAGAUUUUGUUCCUGGCAAAGUUUAUCAGCUGUGCUUAUCUCUAGUCUCCUUUCUCAAGCACUGUAUCCUCCCUUUGCCUGUGGCUAUGCUAAUUGGAAAUGUGAAUUAUCGGAGGAGAGAAGCCCAUUUUUCAUUACUCAAGUUACUCAAAAACCCAGCAGCUCUGAGAGACUUCACCUUAGGUUUUAUUUCUGAAAAAGCUGUGGCUGGUGGCAAAGACUAAAGAAACUGUACCACUUCAUACCUUGCAUAGCUUCGUCCUUCAGUGGAAGCUAGCAUUUAAGUAUUGUAUCCUGGAGCUCAGAGGAUAGGAAAGCUUCAAGGAAGAUAGCUGUUCUUUAUUUCUGAGACAUGUAUUGCUGUCAAUAAAUCACUCAAGCUGCUAUUAUCAUCCAGAACAACAAACUGGCAUCGCUCCUAAAUAAGGGGUGUGUGAAAGAUUAGCAGAACAAAAGCAAUAAAGGAGUCAUUAAAACACCUAGAAGAUAAAAUGCUUUAAAAUAACUCCUCAUGUUUUCUUGUAGCAUGACAGUGAUUGGGUCAUAAAUCAAAGCCAUUCUUCUUCAUGGGAUGUUUAAGGAGGAGGCAGUGAAGUUUGUAUCUGUG